rnacentral:lncRNA from 1 species
AUGCUCAAAAUUCUCCAAGCUAGGCUUCAGAAAUACGGGAACUGUGAACUUCCUGAUGUUCAAGCUGGUUUUAGAAAAGGCAGAGGAACCAGAGAUCAAAUUGCCAACAUCUGCUGGAUCAUCGAAAAAGCAAGAGAGUUCCAGAAAGACAUCUAUUUCUGCUUUAUUGACUAUGCCAAAGAUUUUGACUGUGUGGAUCACAAUAAACUAUGGAAAAUUCUAAAGGAGAUGGGAAUACCAGACCACCUAACCAGCCUCUUGAGAAAUCUGUAUGCAGGUGAGGAAGCAACAGUUAGAACUGGACAUGGAACAACAGACUGGUUCCAAAUAGGAAAACAAGUACGUCAAGGCUGUAUAUUGUCACCCUGCUUAUUUAACUUCUAUGCAGAGUACAACAUGAGAAACGCUGGACUGGAAGAAGCACAAGCUGGAAUCAAGAUUGCUAGGAGAAAUAUCAAUAAGCUCAGAUAUGCAGAUGACACCACCCUGAUGGCAGAAAGUGAAGAGGUACUAAAAAGCCUCUUGAUGAAAGUAAGAGAGGAGAGCGAAAAAGUUGGCUUAAAGCUCAACAUUCAGAAAAUGAAGAUUAUGGCAUCCAGUCCCAUCACUUCAUGGGAAAUAGAUGGAGAAACAGUGGAAACAGUGUCAGACUUUAUUUUGGGGGGCUCCAAAAUCACUGCAGAUGGUGAUUGCAGCCCUGAAAUUAAAAGACACUUACUCCUUGGAAGAAAAGUUAUGACCAACCUAGAUAACAUAUUCAAAAGCAGAGACAUCACUUUGCCAACUAAAGUCUGUCUAGUCAAGGCUAUGGUUUUUCCAAUCGUCAUGUGUGGAUGUGAGAGUUGGACUGUGAAGAAGGCUGAGCACCGAAGAAUUGAUGCUUUUGAACUGUGGUGUUGGAGAAGACUCUUGAGAGUCCCUUGGACUGCAAGGAGAUCCAACCAGUCCAUUCUGAAGGAGAUCAACCCUGGGAUUUCUUUGGAAGGAAUGAUGCUAAAGCUGCAACUCCAGUACUUUGGCCACCUCAUGCGAAGAGUUGACUCAUUGGAAAAGACUUUGAUGCUGGAAGGGAUUGAGGGCAGGAGAAGAAGGGGACGACAGAGGAUGAGAUGGCUGGAUGGCAUCACUGACUCGAUGGAUGUGAGUCUGAGGUGA